CUACUUAUAUAGGCACAGAUACAUCAACAGUGUUCUGCUAAAACUCGUUGUAAACUGUAUGUACAUAAAAGGAAUGAACAGUCACUCUCCUAAUAACCAGUUCUCAUCUGUUUCCAGCUUUGGCUCAAGUUAUAGCAACACCAGGAUGCGUGAUGCAGUGAAAACAGCAUGAAGUUGGAGGAAACCAGACCACGAUUUGAAUCCUGGUUCCAGUGCUCGUCGCCUUGAGCAAGGUUUUGUUCCAGUGCUUCACAUGGAUCAUUUAUUUCAUGCCCACAAGACUCUGAUGAGGAUAUUGAGAAGACUCAUAUGAACCCAGAAAAGGAUGCCUUCCAUAUAUCUCAAGAGUCAUCACAACACCACACCAGAAGUAACCAAGAUUCUUACAACUACUCCCGAUGGUUUAGCAGAAUUGGUUCCCAGACAGUCAUCGCUUCCUAAUUUGCAGAAAUUAGUUAUCCCAUCCCAAUCCCACCUCAAGUCCGUCACCUGUGACUGCUGGCCCAGAUUGGAAUCAAAUAUACGAGGGCUUCUGGUUUAGCACAAAAAUGACAAAUCAGCUAACAUUUCCAUUCUGGUAUUUCAUUGUGUUUUAAUUUCAGGUUCUCACAGUUCUUGUCUCAUGAAAGGCAUUUACAGGAAAGCAGGUAGAACUAGAAAUUCCUGCACAACUAUUCCUUGUAUGGGGCAAG